rnacentral:rRNA from 1 species
AGUCUGACGGAGCACGCCGCGUGAGUGAUGAAGGCUUUCGGGUCGUAAAACUCUGUUGUUAGGGAAGAACAAGUGCUAGUUGAAUAAGCUGGCACCUUGACGGUACCUAACCAGAAAGCCACGGCUAACUACGUGCCAGCAGCCGCGGUAAUACGUAGGUGGCAAGCGUUAUCCGGAAUUAUUGGGCGUAAAGCGCGCGCAGGUGGUUUCUUAAGUCUGAUGUGAAAGCCCACGGCUCAACCGUGGAGGGUCAUUGGAAACUGGGAGACUUGAGUGCAGAAGAGGAAAGUGGAAUUCCAUGUGUAGCGGUGAAAUGCGUAGAGAUAUGGAGGAACACCAGUGGCGAAGGCGACUUUCUGGUCUGUAACUGACACUGAGGCGCGAAAGCGUGGGGAGCAAACAGGAUUAGAUACCCUGGUAGUCCACGCCGUAAACGAUGAGUGCUAAGUGUUAGAGGGUUUCCGCCCUUUAGUGCUGAAGUUAACGCAUUAAGCACUCCGCCUGGGGAGUACGGCCGCAAGGCUGAAACUCAAAUGAUUUUGACGGGG